AAGCUGAGCUCCCUCCCUCCCGAAAUCCGAAGCGCGCGCACAAGAAGGAGGAGGUGAUUCCGGCGGCCGUCAAGAUCGCCAUUGGUCGGGGGGCUUCGAUCUCCGGCGCUCGCCGACGGUGAUUUCGAGCGGCGAUCUCCACCGGCGGAAAAAUGCCGCUCAGAUUGGAAAUCAAGAGGAAGUUUAUUCAACGAUCAGAGAGAGUGAAGUCUGUAGACCUGCAUCCAACAGAACCAUGGAUCCUAGCAAGUUUGUAUGCGGGAACUGUUUGUAUAUGGGAUUACCAGUCACAGACAAUGGUUAAGUCCUUUGAAGUCACUGAUCUGCCAGUUAGGUCAGCAAAAUUUAUUGCACGCAAGCAAUGGGUUGUCGCUGGAGCUGAUGACAUGUUCAUUCGUGUAUACAACUACAACACCAUGGACAAAGUUAAAGUUUUUGAGGCCCACACAGACUACAUUCGAUCCGUGGCUGUCCAUCCCACACUCCCCUACUUGCUCUCAUCAUCCGAUGACAUGCUUAUUAAACUUUGGGAUUGGGAGAAGGGUUGGGUUUGUACUCAGAUAUUUGAGGGACACUCACAUUAUGUGAUGCAAGUCACUUUUAAUCCAAAAGACACAAAUACGUUCGCAAGUGCAUCACUUGAUCGCACGAUAAAGAUUUGGAAUCUCGGCUCUCCUGAUCCAAAUUUCACGUUAGAUGCCCAUCAAAAAGGAGUUAAUUGUGUAGAUUAUUUCACAGGUGGUGAUAAACCAUUUCUUAUCACUGGAGCUGAUGAUCAUACUGCUAAGGUGUGGGACUAUCAAACCAAGAGCUGUGUCCAGACAUUGGAAGGUCACACACACAAUGUCUCAGCUGUCUCUUUUCAUCCGGAUCUGCCCAUCGUAAUUACUGGCUCAGAGGAUGGUACCGUGCGAAUAUGGCAUUCUACUACUUAUAGGCUGGAGAAUACAUUGAAUUACGGUCUUGAAAGAGUCUGGGCUAUCGGCUACAUGAAAAGUUCAAGAAGAGUUGUGAUCGGUUAUGAUGAAGGAACCAUUAUGGUCAAACUUGGUCGUGAAGUGCCUGUAGCUAGCAUGGACAGUAGCGGAAAAAUCAUCUGGGCUAAGCAUAAUGAGAUUCAAACUGUAAACAUUAAGAGCGUCGGAGCAGGUUUUGAGGUUACUGAUGGCGAAAGGUUGCCAUUGGCUGUUAAGGAGUUGGGAACCUGUGAUCUUUACCCCCAAAGCUUAAAGCACAAUCCAAAUGGGAGGUUUGUUGUAGUCUGCGGAGAUGGUGAGUACAUUAUAUAUACUGCAUUGGCAUGGAGGAACCGCUCUUUCGGUUCAGCACUUGAAUUUGUUUGGUCUUCUGAUGGGGAAUAUGCUGUCAAGGAAAGUACCUCAAAAAUCAAAAUCUUCAGUAAAAAUUUCCAGGAGAAAAAGAGUAUUCGACCAACCUAUUUGGCUGAACAUAUCUAUGGCGGCACUCUGUUGGCCAUGUGCUCAAAUGACUUCAUUUGCUUCUAUGAUUGGGUUGAAUGCAGGUUGAUUCGAAGAAUUGAUGUCAAUGUGAAAAACCUAUAUUGGGCUGAUAGUGGUGAUUUAGUGGCAAUUGCCAGUGAUGCAUCUUUCUACAUCCUCAAGUAUAAUCGUGACGUAGUUGUGUCUUAUUUGGAGAGCGGAAAAGCAGAAGAUGAACAAGGAGUAGAGGAUGCUUUUGAACUUCUCCAUGAAACCAAUGAGCGUGUCAAGACCGGUAUCUGGGUUGGUGAUUGUUUCAUUUACAACAACUCUUCUUGGAGGCUCAAUUACUGUGUAGGUGGGGAGGUGACUACAAUGUUCCAUUUGGACCGGCCUAUGUACUUGUUGGGAUAUCUUGCCAAUCAAAGCCGGGUAUACCUAAUUGAUAAAGAAUUCAAUGUUAUGGGGUAUACAUUACUUCUCAGCUUGAUAGAAUACAAAACUCUGGUUAUGCGUGGAGAUCUGGAAAGGGCCAAUGCACUUUUACCUUCGAUUCCUCAAGAGCAUCAUAAUAGUGUGGCUCGUUUCUUGGAAGCACGAGGUAUGAUAGAGGAUGCACUUGAAGUGGCUACGGACCCGGAUUACAGGUUUGAAUUAGCCAUACAGCUUGGGAGGUUGGGGAUUGCAAAGGAAAUUGCAAUGGAAGUGCGGAGCGAGUCUAAAUGGAAGCAGCUGGGAGAAUUAGCUAUGUCGAGUGGAAAGUUGGAAAUGGCUGAAGAAUGUAUGAAACAGGCUAUGGAUUUGAGUGGCUUGUUACUGCUCUAUUCUUCCUUAGGUGAUGCUGAAGGAAUCUCGAGACUUGCAUCCCUUGCUAAAGAGCAAGGAAAGAAUAAUGUUGCAUUCCUCUGUUUAUAUAUGUUGGGUAAAUUAGAAGACUGUCUCCAGCUGUUGGUGGAUACCAAUCGCAUACCUGAGGCUGCUUUGAUGGCACGAUCUUAUCUACCAAGCAAAGUUUCAGAGAUUACUGCAAUCUGGAGAAAGGACCUCCACAAGGUAAAUCCACAAGCUGCAGAAUCUUUGGCUGACCCUGAAGAAUAUCCAAAUUUAUUUGACGAUUGGCUAGUGGCUCUUUCUGUUGAAUCUAAGGUUGCUGGGACAAGGGGUGUUUAUCCUCCUGCGGAAGAAUACGCAAAGUACUCUGAUAGAUCGCACAAUAAUCUUGUUGAGGCUUUCAGAAGCAUGCAAGCUGAGGAAGAGAAUGUAACUCUUGAAAAUGGUGACCAGAGUCACAAGGCUGAUGAACAAAAUGGAGAGGAAGAGGAUGCCGAAGAAGAAAGCCAGGAGGAGGGUGUAGUGGCGGAUGCUAAUUCUACUGAUGGUGCCAGACUCACUAAUGGCAACGAAGCUGAAGAAGAGUUGGGUGUGAAUGAUGAAGGAACCCCACCGGCCUGAAAGGCAAUUGUGGGGCCAGUGUGCAUAUCCAAAUUUUGUCUGAUGUUCAUAUGCAAUACCACCGAGAGUGACUCGAGAGAACCAAGUCGAAAUUUUGUUAAUUCUCUUUCAAGGUAGCUUAAGAGAUCACCGGGAUCCGUUGCCUCCAUUUCCUGGUGUUUACCAAUUCAGUGAGUUGUUUUUUUUUUCCAUUAUUUUGGGAAAUUUAUAAUGUAAUAAUUGCCAUAGAGAAAGUAGUGCAAAACCUCCUUUGUCUAGUUGUUCUUUCGCCUUUCUUCGGCUAAGUUUUCGAGGCCUUUCCACCUUUGCUCCAUAAGGUUGAGCAAUUGAGAAUAUUGCUUCGUUGUAAGUAGAGACUUUCAGGCUUACAUGUUCCAACUCCCCAGGUUUUUGGUAUGGAGGGGAUGAGAAAUCUUGAGAUCACGUAGACAGAUUUCCUCUACACGAUUUGAUGGACUGGCGUAGCUUCUUUUUGAUAUGCUUCAAGUAUUUUAUGAUUGGGUGUGAAAACUGUUCAAGGUAUGGCUACUGAGGUGGUGCCGAAUUUUGCGCAGAGGCAAUGACAUGGGCACAGGUUAAUUAGUUUGUAA